AGGGUGUCCUGGGAGGGGGCAGGCUACCAGGCUGGCCACGGAGCCCGUCAGGGCCACCCCAAGGCUGGGGGUUUGUGUGGUGGGCCACUGCAGUCUCCCGGUUUAUAUUUAAUGCACUGAUUGCUAAAAUUACAGCCCGCUGCCGAGGGGGGUAAGGAAUUAGAUUCAGGGUCUAAUUAAAGGUUCGUUCUUCAUUUGAAUUUCAGAUUCCAGCUUUAAUUUUAGCAACUUCUCCGGGAGCCACAGAGCUCAGCCAAGGGGAAGCGCACCUGCUUGAGCCCGCCCUCCUCCUCGGCCCCUGCCCGCCCCAAGGCUCUCCUGGCGACCUGGCAUCUCUGCCCUGCUCAGGAACCCUUUCUGGCCUUCCCCUUGUCGUGUCCUGAGAUACGUCCAGCUCGUCACAGAGAAGCCCCAAGCCUAGGCCUGGGAGAGGAAGACUGGGUCUCAGGCCUUCUGCAAAAGCAAGCACAGAUUCAGGCAGAGGGACUUGGGCCUUGACAAGUCCACCCGGCCUUGUCUACUCCCAGCGCCAGCGCCCUCAGACCCUCUUGUCUUUUCUGGAGCCACCUCCUCCUCGUAGUCCUGUCUCUAUCUUUCACUGAGUCCUCUGGCGAUGGGGAACUCAGUACCUCACUGGAAGCCCAAGUAGACCUGGGCCACAAAGACACGCAGUGAGAGACACAGAAACAGAAAAGCAGUGUGGCUCAGUCCCAGCGAAAGCACUUCUGCGGGAGAUGACCGCAGCUGAGCUGAGACUACUGAGGUCCAGAAGAGGGGCUGUGGCUCUGGCAGCUUGGGGAGGGGUACUUACCAGCUCGGCAUCAGCCUUGGCGUCGUAGUACAUGAUGUCUUCCUCCUGGUGAAGGGAGAGAGGCCUCAGCACCGACCGCUCAGCGGCUCCUGAGACACAGCUGGACCGCGAGAGUCCUCUGAGACAGAGGCGGUCCGCUUUCCCAUCCACAGCUGUCCUCCUGGAAGGGCUGGAUGAGCUGGUGCUGGCAGCUGCCCACCCCGAUCCUGGUCAGGCCAGCCCUGGGAGGGGUGCUGUGUGCCAGCCCUGCGGGAGGCAGGGUCAGAGCCCAGCCGGGCUGCAGAGGUGCUGCUGCGGCAGGAAGGGGAGCGAGGGAGAUGGAAGAACAGAGCCGAGCUCGGGCAACAGUGCAGUGAUGACUCGCCGCCGCAUCUUCCAAUUUCUUCUAUUAAAAAGCCUGCUCAUUACGGGCAUGUACUUAUUAA